rnacentral:rRNA from 1 species
AGUGAACGCUGGCGGUAGGCCUAACACAUGCAAGUCGAACGGCAGCACAGUAAGAGCUUGCUCUUACGGGUGGCGAGUGGCGGACGGGUGAGGAAUACAUCGGACUCUACUUUUUCGUGGGGGAUAACGUAGGGAAACUUACGCUAAUACCGCAUACGACCUACGGGUGAAAGCAGGGGAUCUUCGGACCUUGCGCGAUUGAAUGAGCCGAUGUCGGAUUAGCUAGUUGGCGGGGUAAAGGCCCACCAAGGCGACGAUCCGUAGCUGGUCUGAGAGGAUGAUCAGCCACACUGGAACUGAGACACGGUCCAGACUCCUACGGGAGGCAGCAGUGGGGAAUAUUGCACAAUGGGCGCAAGCCUGAUCCAGCCAUGCCGCGUGUGUGAAGAAGGCCUUCGGGUUGUAAAGUCCUUUUGUUGGGGAGGAAAAGCAGCAGGUUAAUACCCCGCUGUUCUGACGUUACCCAAAGAAUAAGCACCGGCUAACUUCGUG